AGAGGAAUAAAUGUGAAAACAGCAGUGAGGAAAAGAAAUGCGGGUGCAGGAGUGUGUGUGUGUGUGUGUGUGUGUGUGUGAGAGCAGAAGAAGCAAAACAACAAGAGAAAAGAUACUGCCUCCACUCAUCCUCUCUCAUUCUCUCUCUCUAUCUCUCACAUUCCUCUCUUUCUCUCUCUCUCUCUCGCUCUCUCUCUGCUCUCUUUCUCAGUUUCUCUCCUUUUCCUCUCUCUCUCUCUCUCUCUCUCCUCCUACUCUCUGUUUUGAGGGGGGGUCUCAGACUCGGUGCUUUCCACUCUGCAGAGUGUUUGUGUGUGUUGAGAGUGUGUAUUGUGUGUGUGUGUGUGUUGUGCGAGUGUUCCUCAUGUCUCAGUGAGUCUGAGCGUGUGUGUGUGUGUGUGUAGGUGUGUGUGAGAGACCCCUCCUACGCUACGAUGGAUGGAUUACGGCUCCCACCGCUGAUAGAGGAGACUCCGGACCCCACAGAUGAGAGCACUGAUCUGAAAGCAGAGGAGCCCAUCAUGAGCAGCGAUCUGACGGAGAAGGAGCGAGAGAACGCGGAGCUGGAGGGAGAGGAGAAGGAGGUGAAGGAGGAGAAGGCUGGAGACGAGGUGCUGAGCGAGGAGCAGGAGCUGGAGGAGCUCAGGGCUCAGGUUCUGCAGCUGCUGCUGGAGCUGGAGGAGGCGCGAGACGCUUCGCAGAAACACCAGGAGAACUUCCUCGAGCUGCAGGGUCUUUUGGAGGACGAGCGUUUGGCCAGUGCCCACCAGGCCGAGGCGUUCACCCACCAGAUCCAGCACCUGCAAGCUCAGCUGCGCGGUGUUCAGGACGAGCUGGACCGUGUUCAGGAGCUGAAGGACAGUGAACUGGCCGAGGCUCAGGCCGAGCUGAGUCUUGUGAGGGAGGAGGUGCAGGCGCUGAGGGAGGCGGCGGAGGAGUGCGCGGCCGAGCGAGAGAACGACAUCGCCAGCCUGCAGGAGGAGCUGUGCAGGGUCCGAGCUGAAAUGAGCCGAGUGGAGGCCACCGCACAGGAGUACGAGCUGGAGGCGGUCACUCUGAGAGCCGAAAUCGCCAUGAAGAGCCAAAGGAGGGAGCAGGAGAGGAGAGAGGGUGACGUCGUCCUGCUGAGGGAGGAAUGUUCCAGUUUGAAAGCGGAGUGUGAGACGCUGAAGGAGGCCAACAGCAGACUGACUGAGAAACUGCAGCUGCUGCAGGACACACGAAACGCCAGUGUGUGUCCCCCGCUGAAGGAGGAGCAGGAGGAGGGUGAGAAAGAAGCUGAAGGGAGCAGCGUGAACACGGUGGAGUCUUCAAACUCAAACUGCAGGCUGGUGGACGCCAGCAUCCAGAAGAACAUUUCCUUUGAGGGAAAGCCGCUCACGCCCACCAGCUGGAGCGCAGGAUUCUCCGAAAUCCUCUCCCUGAGAGAGCAGCUGAAGCAGGCAGAGGAGAGAGCGGAACAGGUGCAGAGACAGUGUGACGGGGUGCGGAUUGAGAUGAGGGAGCUACAGGACCUGUUUGAGACCAGUCAGAAGGAACGUGCAGAGCUGGAGCUGGAGCUGCUGCGCUGUAGGGAGGAGCUGGACAAGCUCACAGAGGGGAAUGGGACACAGGACUGAUAGUGAUUGUGGCUGUGCUGUGGUGCUGCUGGUCUGAGCUGGGUUCCUGAAGAGUGAAGGGACGACAACAGAGUCUUUCUCUGGCUGUUAUUACGCCUGCAGCAGAGCUGUCCAUCCUCUCAUGCUUGUUUAAUUUUGAACCUGCUGACCUAUGGUCAGUCGAGCGCCCGAUUUACUGACCCAUGAUCAGCUUAAAGGUCAGAUCCAUUUCUCUUCCUGCCUUUGGUUCUACCCGGAACUUCUUUGGCGUUCGGCCAUCUCUGAGUGGGCCGUGUAGUUUUUCCUGACCCUAAAUGACCAGCAGAGCAGAACGUGGAGCGGCAGCUUUAGCGGAGACGAGGAUUUAACUGUAACUCUGUGGAAGUUUCUUACUCUUUUUGUAAAAAGUCACCUAUUUUACCUUUCAGUACGUUGCUUGUAAUCUGAUUUCCUAUUAGGUUAAUAUCAACUCUAUGUUUUAUAAAGAUAUAUUAAUUUAUUCACCUAUUUAACAUAAAUAUCGUGUAUAGAUUGUUCCUUUAUGUGGUGUUAUGUAAAAAAACUUAAAUUAAUAUAUUUUUAGAGGGAGAACUAAGUGGUGAGGAAGGUAUCGAAUGCAAUAAAAAUAUAAGGCGUCUUCUGCAGCUCGAAUUUCACCUCUAGAUCAGGUGAAGAAAAAUAACUUUACUGUCCCAUCAUGUGUUAGAUGAAGGGUGAAGGGAUGUGGAUGAAGGCUUUUAUCUUUAUGAUAAUGGUACGCACCUGCACAGGUGCACAUACAGGCACUGACAGUGUAGACCAUCAAUUUAUUGAUGAUUUUUUCUGUCAUAAGUGGAAUUAACAACCAUAUUGUAGUGCACUAUAGAUAAUAAUGGACAACAAAUUAUGUUUUAAAUAUCUAUAUAUUUAUAAAUGUAUUUACACAAAUCAUAUAAAUACAUGUCAUGGAUUUCCAUUAAAAAAAUCAGUUUAAUUUAAAUAACAGUUUAAUUUGAUGGAUUAUUAUAAAGGUUGAUUUGGAAAUCCAGUGUUUUUGUAUUUAUUGUUUUUACUAUUUUUAUAUGGAGCUUGUUAGUCUUUUUCUUAUUUGGGAAAAAACUGAAGCCAUUUUAAUUAGAUAUUUAAAAAUUAUACAAAUAUUUAUUCCCAAAGCCAUUUUCAGCCCAUGGUGUAGCUUCAAAUACUGCAUGCAGUAACAAAAAACACCACAGGUUUAAAAAGAACUUUUAAAAACUAUUUAACGUGAAAUAUUAUUAUUUGUAAGUUAUAUUAAUAGAAAGUGAAUAUUUCAGUUCAGUUCAUCAUUUCUGUAAAGUUACGCUCAGGAUUUAAGAUGCAAUUUACAACCUGAUGGAGCAAAAUUGAAUUAAUAGCUAAAAAACUAUUUGAAGCACAGCUUUGAAAUUUUGCAUGUUUGCAUGAAUUAAUUUGAUUAAUUUAAUUGUUAUUCGUGUGGAAUGUAAAUUUAAAAAAUCUAAUGGCAUUUUUAAAAAUAAUCACUGAACAGAAAUGUUCCAAAGCUGAAUGUUCUACUGUUGCACAUUUUUCCUCCAAGCGUUGCCGGAUCUGUUCAGUAAUGAGGUCGCUAAGGAGCCAAAAUAUGAAUCUUUGUGUGGUACACUCUUAAAAAAUGGUUCUUCAAGGGUUCUUUAGUAAAGACAAUGGUUAUUUAAGGUUCUAUACCAUUUGCAUGCUUAAAUGUUUCUCUGCAUG